rnacentral:rRNA from 1 species
UACGUAGGGGCGAGCGUUGUCCGAAGUUACUGGGCGUAAAGCGCGCGUAGGCGGUCUUUUAAGUCUGGUGUGAAAGGUUCAGGGCUCAACCCGAACAGUGCACUGGAUACUGGGAGACUUGAGUAUGGGAGAGGAGGAGCGGAAUUCCUGGUGUAGCGGUGAAAUGCGUAGAUAUCAGGAGGAACACCGAUGGCGAAGGCAGCUCGUCUGGCCUG